ensembl:miRNA
CAACAUAUUAAAUGGAUUUUUGGAGCAGGAAGUUGGAAUAGAGGCUUUCUCAGACAAAUACUUUACUGUGCAG